AAACGUUCCAAAAUAGGAAUUUUUUAUAUUCCAUAAUCUAUUUAUAAUAUAUAAUGUGUGUCUGUGUAUUCAAGUGUUUUGACACCAACAAAGAAGCUUCGUAUUAUUCAGCAUUUAUAAGUGCAGUGGCUUCUGUCCAUUACCAUGAUUUUGGAUAUGGCAACGUCUAAUAACCUUUCCGUUCUGAAAAUAUAUUUUGGCCAAAAACAUUACACGUGGUAUUUUAUUAUUAACAUUACUGAAUGGACUGCAUUGUUAAUGUUCAGCAUUCUGCUGUACGUUGCACUUGAACUUAUAUUUUCAGGACAACCACAUACUUAUGAUCCCUUGGAUGAUAUGGAUUUGGAUUAUAAUGAUUAAAACUGCAGCUGCAACAACUAUUGCAAUGGCACUCGCAUCUUUAUUACCAGUUUUUAUUAUAAUGCUUUUAAGUCUGUCAACUUUCAUAUUCUGCUGUACAGGGAUAUACUUUUUCACUUGCGUCUACAAUCAUUAUACAAUUCUUAAAAUGCGGAAAGUUCUUGUUACACCUGAACAAAAAUCAAAUAUUAUUCGUGUCGCUAAACCUGAAGAAGAUUUGGAUCUUUCCGACAACAUCCAAAUUCCCGACAAAUUAACAUCAAUUACAAACGAUGUUCCUCCUGAAGAAGAACCUGAUAUUCCUGUAGUUCGUUUUACUGAAGAAGUGUAUUAGAAAACCAAUUUUGUAUUAUAUAGUGAGCAACAUAUUGUAAUAAUUAUAAAUUAAAUGUUUUCCUUCAAAA
rnacentral:misc_RNA from 1 species